GAUGAAGAACGUAGCGAAAUGCGAAAAGUAAUGUGAAUUGCAGAAUUCAGUGAAUCAUCGAAUCUUUGAACGCACAUUGCGCCCGCCAGUAUUCUGGCGGGCAUGCCUGUCUGAGCGUCAUUUCAACCCUCACGCCCCUAGGGCGUGGUGUUGGGGAUCGGCCAAGGCCCGCAAGGGACGGCCGGCCCCUAAUCUAGUGGCGGACCCAUCGUGGCCUCCCCUGCGAAGUAGUAAUAUAUUCCGCAUCGGAUAGCGAUGAGCCCCUGCCGUUAAACCCCCAACUCUUUCAAGGUUGACCUCAGAUCAGGUAGGAAUACCCGCUGAACUUAAGCAUAUCAAUAAGCGGAGGA
rnacentral:misc_RNA from 1 species